rnacentral:rRNA from 1 species
AGAGUUUAAUCCUGGCUCAGGAUGAACGCUAGCUACAGGCUUAACACAUGCAAGUCGAGGGGAAACGACAUCGAAAGCUUGCUUUUGAUGGGCGUCGACCGGCGCACGGGUGAGUAACGCGUAUCCAACCUGCCCACCACUUGGGGAUAACCUUGCGAAAGUAAGACUAAUACCCAAUGAUAUCUCUAGAAGACAUCUGAAAGAGAUUAAAGAUUUAUCGGUGAUGGAUAGGGAUGCGUCUGAUUAGCUUGUUGGCGGGGUAACGGCCACCAAGGCGACGAUCAGUAGGGGCUCUGAGAGGAAGGUCCCCCACAUUGGAACUGAGACACGGUCCAAACUCCUACGGGAGGCA